CUCCCUCUGGUAUUUCUUAAUCCAUUUCUGCAUCAAUAAAUUGAAUACCUGUGAAGUGUCUAAAAUUUUUUGUUUCCUCUCUAGUUGAGACACAAUAAUUACGUUCUUUACUUUGGUUUUGGAGAGAGUGAUUCUCUAGUUCGUUGACCCUGUUGAUGAAAGAAUGCCAGGUGUUCACUAAAAUUCCUAUAAGAACGUUCCUUAUGUUUCUUUUUUUUUUUUUCCCCUCGAUUUGUUUACUUUGUUUUUGGGAGAAGUUGUUUACUACCUUAUUACAAACUUGCCUUGACUGCUCAAUUGUUUGGUAUUAGAUACAAAAACUAGAAAACCAAAUUUGGGAAACGGAUCAUGUGAAGUAUGGUUUGGAGAGGAGACAACUUUCACAGAUGGAUUGAUAAUUUUCAAAUUUGUCUUCUGUUUGCCACCUUAUCCACGCAUGCGAGAGGUGGUGCAAAUUUAUUUUCAUUUUUCCUCUAAUAAUGAAGGGUUAGAUGUAUUUAGUUCAGACAAUUGUUCUCGGUAUAGAUUUCUUUACAAGGUUCUUAUUAAUUUCCACUACAAAGCAUAGAUUUAGUUAACCAAAUGUCUGCUGAUAAACUUACAAGUCCAUCACCCUAGGGGGUCACAAUGGAAAAUUCAAUGCCUUCCUAAUUUAAUUUUUUAAUUAUGCUUCAAGGAGCAACUUACUGCAUAACAGAGUAGUUUAUUUGCUUGAAUUCCAUGUCUCUUGCUUUUAUAUUGUGUUCAAAAUUUCGAUGAUUAAUUAAUGGCAUAGAAGUCAAAGCAGUAUUUCUUAUCCUUAGCUAUGAACAGUGAAUGAGGGAAUUGUUUUGGGGAGAGAAUUCAGGCACCCAUACGCUGCUAGCUUGUUUUCUUUCUUCACCUUCCCUUUAUUAAUGCUUUUGUCUUUUUGAUCGCUCCUAUUAGUUAAAUAAAAUUUGUUUGAAAAAUAAUCACCCUUGCUUCUUGUUGUCAUUAUACUGCUGUGCAGCUACUUUUGUUUUAAUAACUCUAGCAGGGUGCUUGGUUUCAGUUGGACCUUGAUAUUUACUCUUGUAAAUGUGAUAUUGUUAUACACAUAUUGUCUGUAAGUCACAAUAACAGAAAAUAGCUGAUUUGCUUGUAUGUCUCUAGCUUUUAUAUUUUGGAAAUUUUUUAUGAUUAAUUAAUGGCACAAAAAACUGAAUAUUGCUGCGGAGGUCAGAGCAGUAUUUCUUAUCCUUAGAUAUGAGCUGUGAAUGGAAGAAGCUUUGCUUUUUUAGGAGGGAGUUCAGGCACCCAACCUAGGAGUGUUCACCUUGCCUUCGCUGAUGAUUCUGUAUUAUUGAUUCUUCCAUUAGUUUAAUAGCAAUUUUUUUCGAAGUAUUCACCAUUAUUUCUUGUGAUUAUAAGCUACUUUUGUUUUAAUAACUCUAGGGUGGUGCUUGGUUACAGUUGGACCUUGAUCUUGACUCUUUGUAUAUGUGAUAUUGUUACACAUAUACAGACAUAGUUUAUAUUUAUUGAUAUUAUCACUCGUCAAACAAAUGUUUUAAUUUGAUCUUUAGCAACUCCAACUUUUUGACAAACUACACAAUCAAUUAUGAUAUGCCCUUCCAUUUUAAUGUUCAAAUCUCCGCCACUUUUUUGUUGUAGUAUCUCUUGGUUGUUAACAAAAAUUUUGUUGAUUCAGAUUGGUGUACUUAUUGAAGACACAAAAUUUGUCAAUUCAUGUAUGGGAGGAAAGCCUUGGAAGGCAGGAAAAUUUUCUUCAAGUCUUCGCCUUGCGCUAUGGUCUGAACACCUUGGUCUUCCAGCUGGAGAGAAACACCUGUUCUGUUUAUAGGGCAGCAAAAUAGAAAUGGUCUGGAGAGAUUUCAGUCAUCAUUCCAAGUUACUGAAAGUCCUGGGGCUAACAUCGAUGGUUGUUGCUUUGCUAGAGACUUUUCGCCAACUACUUCAAAACAAGGGAGACAGAAUUCUUCAUAGGUUUGGAAUUGAAUUUGGAGUUUAUUUAGAUGUCUGUCUUUUGUUGAUGGGAAGCUGGAACACUGUACACAAACUGUGUUUUUCCACUUCCCAUCGCCACUGCCAAUUUGUCGAUGUGCUUGAGCCAAACUGAAAUUUUGGUAUCAUUAUAUUCACAUUUAAAUCAUUGCCAACCCA